UCUGCACACUGUUAGAGCUUGGAGUUGAGGCCACUGAGUGGCCGGUGAACUCUCAGGUGUAGGUAGUGUGCUACACGAGGGGCAAGUCUUUCGCUAGCACCACGAGGGUCUCUGGCCCGAUGAGUGGGCUUUGAUAGUAAUUCUUGCUACAAAU
ensembl:snoRNA SNORA62 Small nucleolar RNA SNORA62/SNORA6 family